AGAAUAAACGUUGGCGGUGUGCCUAACACAUGCAAGUCGAGCGAGAAAGCUUCUUCGGAAGUGAGUACAGCGGCGGACGGGUGAGUAACGCGUGGGAAUCUGCCCUUUAGUGAGGAAUACCUCCGAGAAAUCGGGGUUAAUACUGCAUAAGUCCCUUCGGGGAGAAAGAUGGCCUCUUGCUGUCGCUAAAGGAUGAGCCUGCGUACUAUUAGCUAGUUGGUAGGGUAAUGGCCUACCAAGGCGAUGAUGGUUA
rnacentral:rRNA from 1 species